rnacentral:rRNA from 1 species
CGUAAGCGCAUGCAGGUGGUUUGUUAAGUCAGAUGUGAAAGCCCGGGGCUCAACCUCGGAAUAGCAUUUGAAACUGGCAGACUAGAGUACUGUAGAGGGGGGUAGAAUUUCAGGUGUAGCGGUGAAAUGCGUAGAGAUCUGAAGGAAUACCGGUGGCGAAGGCGGCCCCCUGGACAGAUACUGACACUCAGAUGCGAAAGCGUGGGGAGCAAACAGGAUUAGAUACC